UCCCAGACUCCUACGGGAGGCAGCAGUGGGGGAUAUUGCACAAUGGGGGGAACCCUGAUGCAGCGACGCCGCGUGGGUGAAGGAGUGCUUCGGCAUGUAAAGCCCUAUCGGCAGGGAAGAAGCAAGACGGUACCUGACUAAGAAGCCCCGGCUAACUACGUGCCAGCAGCCGCGGUAAUACGUAGGGGGCGAGCGUUAUCCGGAUUCACUGGGUGUAAAGGGAGCGUAGACGGCCAUGCAAGCCAGGAGUGAAAGCCCGGGGCCCAACCCCGGGACUGCUCUUGGAACUGCGCGGCUGGAGUGCAGGAGGGGCAGGCGGAAUUCCUGGUGUAGCGGUGAAAUGCGUAGAUAUCAGGAGGAACACCGGUGGCGAAGGCGGCCUGCUGGACUGCGACUGACGUUGAGGCCCGAAAGCGUGGGGAGCAAACAGGAUUAGAUACCCUAGUAU
rnacentral:rRNA from 1 species